rnacentral:rRNA from 1 species
UGGGGAAUAUUGGACAAUGGGCGCAAGCCUGAUCCAGCAAUGCCGCGUGUGUGAAGAAGGCCUUCGGGUUGUAAAGCACUUUUAUCAGGAGCGAAACGCUGUCGGCUAAUACCCGGCGGAACUGACGGUACCUGAGGAAUAAGCACCGGCUAACUUCGUGCCAGCAGCCGCGGUAAUACGAAGGGUGCAAGCGUUAAUCGGAAUUACUGGGCGUAAAGCGUGCGUAGGCGGUUUCUUAAGUCUGCUGUGAAAUCCCCGGGCUCAACCUGGGAAUGGCAGUGGAUACUGGGAGGCUAGAGUGUGUCAGAGGGUGGUGGAAUUCCCGGUGUAGCGGUGAAAUGCGUAGAGAUCGGGAGGAACAUCAGUGGCGAAGGCGGCCACCUGGGACAACACUGACGCUGAGGCACGAAAGCGUGGGGAGCAAACAGGAUUAGAUACCCUGGUAGUCCACGCCCUAAACGAUGCGAACUGGAUGUUGGUCUCAACUCGGAGAUCAGUGUCGAAGCUAACGCGUUAAGUUCGCCGCCUGGGGAGUACGGUCGCAAGACUGAAACUCAAAGAAUUGACGGGGUCAUAGCUGUUUCCU